GUUGGCUUUCCCCAGUGUUUCAAAGCAACCACAGCAGACCAUCUCUCCAGCAAAGGCUCAGCUCUGCCAGCAGGGACCCCCAAUAUGAAAGGGAACGUGGGGCUUACAGGGACCCUUCCACCUCCAACAAGGGAACUGGGGCUGAGGGAUGUUGGGAAAGACCGGGAACCAACCUUCAGCCCUGUACCCAGCUCUGCAGGCUCCUGCUCUGCGCUCAGCAUGCUCCUCCCUGGUGGACCCCGGCCCUCUGAGGAAUCGCUCUGGAGCUCGAGGCCAGCCUACAGGGAGAGGCAGGACAGGAGCUUGGUGCCCAGCCCUGUGCAUUUACGGCUCCUGGCCCCAAAGGCAAGGCAUGCUUGCUUUUAA
rnacentral:lncRNA from 1 species